UACGGGGGGGGGCAAGCGUUGUUCGGAAUUACUGGGCGUAAAGGGUUCGUAGGUGGCCAACUAAGUCAGACGUGAAAUCCCUCAGCUUAACUGGGGAACUGCGUCUGAGACUGGAUGGCUUGAGUGCAGGAGAGGAACGCGGAAUUCCAGGUGUAGCGGUGAAAUGCGUAGAUAUCUGGAGGAACACCGGUGGCGAAGGCGGCGUUCUGGACUGCUACUGACACUGAGGAACGAAAGCCAGGGGAGCAAACGGG
rnacentral:rRNA from 1 species